rnacentral:rRNA from 2 species
UACAGAGGUCCCAAGCGUUGUUCGGAUUCACUGGGCGUAAAGGGUGCGUAGGUGGCGAGGUAAGUCUGAUGUGAAAUCUCUGAGCUUAACUCAGAAACGGCAUCGGAUACUCUCUCGCUAGAGGGUUUGAGGGGGGACUGGAAUUCUCGGUGUAGCAGUGAAAUGCGUAGAUAUCGAGAGGAACACCAGUGGCGAAGGCGGGUCCCUGGAAAACUCCUGACACUGAGGCACGAAAGCUAGGGGAGCAAACAGG